rnacentral:rRNA from 1 species
AGCAGCCGCGGUAAUUCCAGCUCCAAUAGCGUAUAUUAAAGUUGUUGCAGUUAAAAAGCUCGUAGUUGAAUUUCGGGGUUCUACCGUUGGUCGGGCAAUAGUCUGUACUGGCGUGUAGAAUUUCUACCUUCUGAUGAACUAUGAUGUCAUUAAUUUGGUGUCAUAGGGAAUCAGGACUGUUACUUUGAAAAAAUUAGAGUGUUUAAAGCAGGCUCACGCUUGAAUACAUUAGCAUGGAAUAAUGAAAUAGGACGUUCGAUCUUAUUUUGUUGGUUCCUAAGAUUGACGUAAUGAUUAAUAGGGAUAGUUGGGGGCAUUAGUAUUCAAUUGUCAGAGGUGAAAUUCUUGGAUUUAU